rnacentral:ribozyme from 1 species
UGGCCAGCACCUCCCAUCCCCACCUCCUUGUGGUACUGGCCAGGGUACGAGCAACCAAUCCCGGUGGACACUCUUGUCGUAUGCUGACAGGGAAAG